AUUGAACGCUGGCGGCAUGCCUUACACAUGCAAGUCGAACGGCAGCAUGAUCUAGCUUGCUCGAUUGAUGGCGAGUGGCGAACGGGUGAGUAAUACAUCGGAACGUGCCCUGUAGUGUGGGAUAACUAGUCGAAAGAUUAGCUAAUACCGCAUACGACCUGAGGGUGAAAGUGGGGGACCGCAAGGCCUCAUGCUAUAGGAGCGGCCGAUGUCUGAUUAGCUAGUUGGUGAGGUAAAGGCUCACCAAGGCGACGAUCAGUAGCUGGUCUGAGAGGACGAUCAGCCACACUGGGACUGAGACACGGCCCAGACUCCUACGGGAGGCAGCAGUGGGGAAUUUUGGACAAUGGGCGAAAGCCUGAUCCAGCAAUGCCGCGUGUGUGAAGAAGGCCUUCGGGUUGUAAAGCACUUUUGUCCGGAAAGAAAUGGCUCUGGUUAAUACCUGGGGUCGAUGACGGUACCGGAAGAAUAAGGACCGGCUAACUACGUG
rnacentral:rRNA from 1 species